AGUAAAGAAGCGAAGCUAAGCGGCGCUGGUGAAGCGGCUCAUCAGGUCUAUCAGGAAACCUGAGAAUUGGAGUGAGAAUCCCAGUGUGGAAAAUCAGGAAAGAGGCUGGUAUGAGCGACAGAGAAGUCAUUCAGGAAAGAGGUUAUUGAAUUCAUUGGAGAAUGAAUGCUGUUCUGAAUUUGGCUAUGAAGUUUGUGAAUUUUUCCAAAUUGUCACAAUCUCCAAAAAAUUUUCCAUUAUAUUUACUGAAAAAAAUGCAUACAAGUGGACUCAUGCAGUUCAAACCCAUGGUGUU
rnacentral:lncRNA from 10 species